rnacentral:rRNA from 1 species
UUCCUACGGGGGGCAGCAGUGGGGAAUAUUGCACAAUGGGGGAAACCCUGAUGCAGCGACGCCGCGUGAGUGAAGAAGUAUUUCGGUAUGUAAAGCUCUAUCAGCAGGGAAGAAAAAAGACGGUACUUGACUAAGAAGCCCCGGCUAACUACGUGCCAGCAGCCGCGGUAAUACGUAGGGGGCAAGCGUUAUCCGGAUUUACUGGGUGUAAAGGGUGCGUAGGCGGCCUGCUAAGUCUGGAGUGAAAGGUACCGGCUCAACCGGUACAGGCUCUGGAAACUGGCGGGCUAGAGAGCAGGAGAGGG